rnacentral:rRNA from 1 species
UACGUAGGGGGCAAGCGUUGUCCGGAUUCAUUGGGCGUAAAGAGCUCGUAGGCGGCUUGGCAAGUCGGGUGUGAAAACUCCAGGCUCAACCUGGAGACGCCACCCGAUACUGCCAUGGCUAGAGUCCGGUAGGGGACCACGGAAUUCCUGGUGUAGCGGUGAAAUGCGCAGAUAUCAGGAGGAACACCCGUGGCGAAAGCGGCUCUCUGGGACGGUACUGACGCUGAGACGCGAAAGCGUGGGGAGCAAACAGG